rnacentral:rRNA from 1 species
GAUGAACGCUGGCGGCGUGCCUAAUACAUGCAAGUCGAGCGGACCAAAGAGAGCUUGCUCUCUGAGGUUAGCGGCGGACGGGUGAGUAACACGUGGGUAACCUGCCUGUAAGACGGGGAUAACUUCGGGAAACCGAAGCUAAUACCGGAUGAUAAAGAGAAACGCCUGUUUCUUUUUUGAAAGUCGGCCUUGUGCUGACGCUUACAGAUGGGCCCGCGGCGCAUUAGCUAGUUGGUGAGGUAACGGCUCACCAAGGCGACGAUGCGUAGCCGACCUGGGAGGGUGAUCGGCCACACUGGGACUGAGAGACGGCCCAGACGCCUACGGGAGGCAGCAGUAGGGAAUCUUCGGCAAUGGACGAAAGUCUGACUGAGCAACGCCGCGUGAGCGAUGAAGGCCUUCGGGUCGUAAAGCUCUGUUGUCAGAGAAGAACAAGUACCGGAGUAACUGCCGGUACCUUGACGGUACCUGACCAGAAAGCCACGGCUAACUACGUGCCAGCAGCCGCCGUAAUAC